GAGUCUUUCGGGAGGAUAAGCAAGCAGCAGCAAGACUGCUUUUGCGUGGGUGCCAUUUGAAUUAAGUCGCGGCAGAGGCUUUGGUAUGGAGCAACUCGCUCAAGCUUGCCCGUGUGUCCAUCCCACGGCUGGACAAACUGGUCUCUGAAAAGAGCGGGCAGAAGGAAGCCUGGAGCUGAGAUCCCUAUCUUCCCUCCCUCCUGUUGCCACUGCACAAGGGCAUGUGUAUUAGCCCAUUUGGACCACCACAACCAGCCCACAUGCUGGGCACCUCAAGCCACAGAAACACAUCUCUUAUAGAUCCAGAAGGUGAUGGUUUGAGAUGACCAGGUGUCAGCAGAUGUAGGCUCCUACGCCAUCUCUCCUUGACUUGAAGAUGUCCGGCUUCAUACCGUGUCCUCUUAGGACGGCUACUAUGUAUGGGACAGACACAAGGAGAAAGGAAAGAACUGGAAACCAGAGGAGUGUCUGGGGUCUGGGAAGCCCUCAAGGGCCCUCACAGCCAUCAAGACACCCACAGGCAGGGUGGUCUGGAGGUCAGAUCACUCAUUAAAGGAUUCCUAAGAGGCACCUUCUGUUUCCUCCUGGGUCUCAAGUCUCCGUCAGAUGGCAAACAUGACAUAAUACCAACAGGGAUUUCUCUGAGCUUCCCUGAAUGAUUUGACUUCCAAUUGCACAAACACAUUACAUCAGCCACGACCGUAACCCAGCACUCAGGAUGCAGAUGUGGAAGAGGACCAGAAACCUGAGGCCAGCCUGAUCUACAUAGCAAACCCCAGCCCGGCCAGGACUACAUAGGGGGGGUUCCAAAACCAGAAAAUAUAUCCUCCAGGAAAACAAAAUGAUCUCUCCAAAUAACCAAAAAAACCACCAUCCUCCGAAACAUCCCACCAUCCACGUUAGGAGGAUGAAAAUCUAGCGCCCAAUCCCAUAACUGCGGCUCUGUAAGCCAUUGAACAACUCAGGAAAAGUUUAAGAGGGAUUUGGAGACCCAGUAGGGGGCCAAGCAUAUCUGAACUGAUUUGUGUCUCUUUACACUUUCUUUAUUCUCUGCUCUGGACGGUUCUACCUUAAGGAGUCAUCAGCAAGAAAGGGGGCAUGCCCUCAUUGGUGUGCCUCAGUCAAUGCUCACCUGCACCCUUCCAAUACCUGCCUCCACCUGAGCUCCCCAGCGGGCCUCAGGCAAGCUCCUUCCUACACUGAGCUCCUUCUGUGAACUCCCCAUCACAGCAGAGCCCAGCAACAGGCCACUCGCCCAUGUACUGAGAUCUCUGACACCAUGAGGCACAGCAAACCUUCCUCUUUUUAAGAUGGGUGUCUCACGUAUUUUGCUAUAGUGAAGGGAAGCCCUAUUCUCAUUUCAAUACUCUUAUUUCUGUCUCGACUCACAACUAACUGACCCUAAGUCAUUAUACUAGGAAGCAGCAGAGAGGAGAUGGUUCUGUUCCUUCACUUUUCCUUCAGCAUAACCCUUGCACAAAUAAUCAUCAUAGACUCACCGAAUACACAAGUAGCAUCCUAAGAAAUAGAACACUACCUCCUCUGCCCCGCCAAUCUCAUAAUCCCUGGACCCCAGAUCCCAAAGGACCCUUUGUCACUACUCAACCCCAGAGGUCUAGAGGUCACCACUGCUCUGUGUACCCUGGCACCCCGUGCCUUCCAGGGGAUGAAGGGUGUGAUCUCUUCGGUGCCUGGGUGUCUCAGUGUGGUGUUCCUGAGCUGCUGCAGCACCAGCGUGAGGAGCUGGGGUUGGCUCUGCUUUCCUGUGGGAUAGAACCCCCUGUCCUGACACUGUACAGCUUGCUCACCCACCUCCCACAGUGAUCACAGGGCUCACUCGGGGUUCCCAGCAGCUGCCAGCAAUGCUGUGCUCUGAAGUCUGACUGUAUUGUCCAGUGAGUACGUGCACACACACAUACACACACAUCACACACACACACUCUUCUCACCGGCAGUCCUGGGGUGGAUGUGAGGUGCUGUGCAGUGUGGGUGUGCAUAGCUUUUGAAAAACUUGCAGAGUUUCAAGGUAAUUAUAUCUGUCAAAGAUUUCCACAGCCCUUAUUGUUACACAUAUAAAAUCCACUUAAGGCCUCAUGAAUACGUUAA